rnacentral:rRNA from 1 species
UACCAGCACCCCGAGUGGUCGGGACGUUUAUUGGGCCUAAAGCAUCCGUAGCCGGUUCUACAAGUCUUCCGUUAAAUCCACCUGCUUAACAGAUGGGCUGCGGAAGAUACUAUAGAGCUAGGAGGCGGGAGAGGCAAGCGGUACUCGAUGGGUAGGGGUAAAAUCCGUUGAUCCAUUGAAGACCACCAGUGGCGAAGGCGGCUUGCCAGAACGCGCUCGACGGUGAGGGAUGAAAGUUGGGGGAGCAAACCGG